rnacentral:rRNA from 1 species
CACGUAGGGUGCGAGCGUUAAUCGGAAUUACUGGGCGUAAAGCGUGCGCAGGCGGUCUCGCAAGUCCGAUGUGAAAUCCCCGGGCUUAACCUGGGAACUGCAUUGGUGACUGGCGGGCUAGAGUAUGGCAGAGGGGGGUAGAAUUCCACGUGUAGCAGUGAAAUGCGUAGAGAUGUGGAGGAAUACCGAUGGCGAAGGCAGCCCCCUGGGCCAAUACUGACGCUCAUGCACGAAAGCGUGGGGAGCAAACAGG